ACGACUAUACUUUCAGGAAUCACCUCUAUAGUCUGUUACGAGAAACUUGUGGCUAAAUGUAUACCCAAGAAGGAACUGUGCCAUAAGAAACAGU
rnacentral:snoRNA from 1 species